UUAUCAUUUAUUAUUCAUUAUAAUUAGCAUUGUUGUUAUAGGCGACACUUCUCCCAGGACGGGACAAAAAGCAAACCAAGUGCCUUAGGCCAGAGACACUUUCACAUGGAUAUCAAUGGGGGAUGUGGAACAUUUAUUUGUUUACUCUCUCACUCCUAAAUUAGUAAAUACCGUAUUCUUGAGUUCUAAUCUACAUAAUCAGCCACUGGGAACAGUUUUCUCUUCUCUGUUCUUCUGUAUGUUUUCUGUGAAUUAUUUUGUUACUUGUGAAAUAUGGGAAGGCACACGGCAUAGCUUUGGCAGCGCUCUUCUUUGCAGAGCAGCUAAGGAAUUUUUGAAGUAGGUCCCUUUGCAUAUUAGCCCGGACUAAACACAGGCAUCUGUUUGGAGCACAGAGCAACUGGGGGAAAGGAGCCCAAAAAGCUAACACCUAUUUCAGAGAGGUGUGAGCUUGGUGAGCGUUUUGGAAAAUAAGGUAAAAUUAGCACACUAGUUUUAAAUGAUUUGCAGGCUACAUAAUUUUAUCCAAUGCUUAUUUUAUCUUUUAAACAUUAAGUGAUAACUUUUACUUGGCAUAAUCAUCUUGCUGGAAAUCUAUGCUGAUAAACAUAAUAGGAACAUGAAACUAACUUGGAGACUAGAGCUAAGAUUAAAAUUACAGAGAUGACAGCUCAUUGUACAGAGCAUCAAAAGGCUGAGUGAACAGGGCCCACAGACAGCAGCUCCACCAACUGUCCACCACCAGAGAAAUGAGAGUUCGUGAUCAAAGCAUGAAGGAGACUGGGGAUGUUUUUUUCAAGAAGGCAAAGACAGCCUCUUGAAUGAUGUGAACAGUGAUGGCUUUCUCUGAGAGUAAGACAAGAAAAGCUUUGUAAAUGGUGCCGAAUUUCCUGCUCUUGGCACGCCCUGCUCAGCACAGAAGAAAAGACUGAUCAGGUUGUCCAAGAUGGAAUCCUUUAUCCACUUUAGUCCACUUAUCUCUUUAAGAUUAAAGGAAAGCAGUCAUUAAAAA